AACCGGCAAGGCAGAGACAGCAAGGGCGGUUCGUUGCUCCAGCCUUUCCGUUCACCUUCACACUCCUGGGCCAGACUAUACUUAAUCAUAGGACCUACUGAAGAGAUAAGUCUUCAGUAAAGACUUAAAGGUUGAGACUGAGUCUGCGUCUCUCACAUUGGUAGGCAGACCAUUCCAUAAAAAUGGAGCUCUAUAGGAGAAAGCCCUACCUCCAGCCGUUUGCUUAGAAAUUCUAGGGACAAUUAGGAGGCCUGCGUCUUGUGACCGUAGCGUACGUGUAGGUAUGUACGGCAGGACCAAAUCGGAAAGAUAGGUAGGAGCAAGCCCAUGUAAUGCUUUGUAGGUUAGCAGUAAAACCUUGAAAUCAGCCCUUGCCUUAACAGGAAGCCAGUGUAGGGAGGCUAACACUGGAGUAAUAUGAUCAAAUUUUUUGGUUCUAGUCAGGAUUCUAGCAGCCGUAUUUAGCACUAACUGAAGUUUAUUUAGUGCUUUAUCCGGGUAGCCGGAAAGUAGAGCAUUGCAGUAGUCCAGCCUAGAAGUAACAAAAGCAUGGAUUAAUUUUUCUGCGUCAUUUUUGGACAGAAAAUUUCUGAUUUUUGCAAUGUUACGUAGAUGGAAAAAAGCUAUCUAUCCCCUUCAUCCCUGGAUACUGGUUGAUCACAGUAUCCUGCAUUAUUGUAAAAAGAGAAACCUAUUUAGUGAUUCAAAUGCACUAAUUGAUAUAUUUUUGAUUAUAUGUUAUAUUGGAACCCUGUUGAGCAGAGGAGGGGUAGUUUGAUAUGUUAUAUUGGAACCCUGGUGAGCAGAGGAGGGGUAGUUUGAUAUGUUAUAUUGGAACCCUGGUGAGCAGAGGAGGGGUAGUUUGAUAUGUUAUAUUGGAACCCUGGUGAGCAGAGGAGGGGUAGUUUGAUAUGUUAUAUUGGAACCCUGGUGAGCAGAGGAGGGGUAGUUUGAUAUGUUAUAUUGGAACCCUGGUGAGCAGAGGAGGGGUAGUUUGAUAUGUUAUAUUGGAACCCUGGUGAGCAGAGGAGGGGUAGUUUGAUAUGUUAUAUUGGAACCCUGGUGAGCAGAGGGGUAGAAAAUAACCAUUGUGUAGCUCUUUUUGUCACAUAUUGUUUGCAUUUGUUUUCACAAAUUAUUGACUAUAUACUGCUUUGUGUGUCUCACUCAUCCAGCCCUUAAAAGAGCCUAAUAGGAUACUAAAGUAAUGACGUGUCAAUAUGACUGGCUUUGUGCAUUGAAAAGAUAGACUAGAAAAUGUUCCACAUUGAUAUAAUUUCGCCCUCUAUCCUAGUGUUGCCAAACAAAUGGGAAAUGCAGUAACCAUUGUCUUCAGGGCUGAGAAUGAGAUUGAAUAAUUUAUCUUGGAUGUGAUUAAUUUAGAUUAUUUGUCAUUGAUUUUUCAUUUACUGUUGUUUUUUGUUUGUUAUGGUCAACCAGAGAGUAGCUGGUGCUGGCUGGCUUGAAGUUGCCUCUUUAGUACAGAUAUAGGAUCAGCCUCCACUCCCCCAAAUUCCAACAUUAACCAUAAGUAGGGAUGUCAAAGCAGAUCCUAGAUCAGCGACAAGAGGUAACCUAGUUCUACUCCAACUGGCUCGGUCCAGAGAAGUGAAGUGUUGUUCGGAACAGGUCAGAGAAGUGUUGUUUAGGACAGGUUAGAGAAGUGAAGUGUUGUUCAGGACAGGUCAGAGAAGUGUUGUUUAGGACCGGUUAGAGAAGUGAAGUGUUGUUCAAGACUGGUCAGAGAAGUGUUGUUUAGGACAGGUCAGAGAAGUGUUGUUUAGGACAGGUUAGAGAAGUGAAGUGUUGUUCAAGACUGGUCAGAGAAACAGGUAAAUAAUGUUCAUACACAUACGUUUGCAAACGUUCUGUUAUGUGAAAUGACUUGCAUCUCAGCUGUAUGUAAUCAAAUUGCUUUCCUUUUGUUUUGUGUGUUGCCUUAACUGUUGUCUUAAUCCUAUAAUAUUAACUAGAGCAAAUGUGUACUCAGACUAUAUAAAAAAUGCUUAAGAUAGUGAUCACCAUAUUAUACUUUAAGACUGACCAACUUUCAAUUAACAUCGACUAACUUUAACGCUGACCAUAUACCAAAUGGUAAAAGAUAGUAGCGAUCACCAUUGCCAUAUUAUUCUGUCACUUGAUGAUUAUCCAAGCUUCUGUGUUAAACAAUACAACUUUGUCUGCCUUAUGUACCAAAUGUUACUUUUGGUGACAAGUGUAAUUAAUUUGGAGAUAAAAUAUAUACACUCUACUAUUUUGGCUUUAAGUAUUUUAUCUACAACAGACAGGUAACAUUGACCAACACUGACCAACUUUCAGCAACUUUAACGCUGUGUAAUGGGGCAGUGAGUCGGGUGCAGGUGAAACGUUUUAACAAAACCAAGAACACGACACUAACAUAGAGCAGAACGCCGAUACACAACAACAAUACCAACUGGUGAGUGAACAUGGUGAAACGUGACAUAAAGGGGAGGAAAUGAUGAAGGUAAUGGAGUCCAGGUGUGAAUCAUAAUGACUCACAGGUGUGCGUAAUGAUGAAUCCCAGGACCGGUGGUUGGUACUCUGGCGACGUCGAACGCCAGAGGGGAGGAGCAGGAGUAGACGUGACAUGCUGACCGACUUUUUUUAGGGGCUGGGAUUAAAAAUGUAAAUGUAGAGGUAGUUCAGGACUGGUCAG
rnacentral:lncRNA from 1 species